rnacentral:tRNA from 1 species
CGCGGCGUAGCUCAACAGGAGAGCGGCCUCUGGCUAAGGGGUGCCACGAUGACGACACACCAUGCACGGAAGCGGCGACCAGUCACCAAAGCGGAACUGCAUGGCGGUGCAGGUGCGAAUCCUGCCGCCGCGCCCA